CCUCAGAGGCUGUGACAGCCUCAACUCUGUUCCUCCCUCGUGCAGGUUCAGCAAUCAAGGGACAGAAGCUCACCUGUGACUCUGGAGGUCACCUGGGCUGAGAGGUCCUCUAUGAACAGUGUAGCCUGGGAUGGCUGCCUAGCUGCCUCCCUAGGUCAGGGAACCUGGGGCCUGGGCCCUCUGCAGGCUUGUGGGGCCCUGACUCAGACCCCAGUCAUGUUCAGUGAGCAGCUUGAUCUCUCCUGGGGCCGACACCGGCUGCAGCAGAAUGUGACAUAUGAGAAGCGUCAGCUGCCCCAGUGGGACAAGGUCCACGCAGAGGUCACACUAGAGCACAUCCUCUCGGCCCCUUGUGCCAAGCACAGCUUCCAAGGGACAGUGGAAACAGACUACAUGCACAAGUUACGUCACACCCUCCACCUGGGGCUUUGCAACUUGCCCAGGGCCCUCUCAUUCUCUGGGGAGCACAGUCUGGAUCAGGGUGCUCUCCUGCUGCGUUCUCAAUACCAUCUGGGUCUUGCUCCAGAACCUGACCAGGGCCUGCACUUUAGCCUCACCCUCUACAACCACAGCCGACCUAAUGCACCG
rnacentral:lncRNA from 1 species